rnacentral:lncRNA from 1 species
GGGAAACCCCCCAAAAUCAACCUCAAGCCAUUUCUCAUCCUCCUCCCUCUUCCUCUUCAGAGCUCCGUGAGACCCAAACCUCCCGAUAUUUAUCCCAGAAGGUGAAAGAGAGGCCCGAGUUUGGCUAAAAUGCAGCAAUUUCACGAUAGUUUUAUUUAUAAUUUAUUUAUUUCCUCCCCCCCUCCCCCUUUUAUUUAUUUCCAAGGUUGUUCUCAGGCACGGCGAAGAUCAAUUCUCAAGAGAAAAAUAAAAAAAAAAUUGAAAAAAAAAAUUCUAAAUCCUCCCCAGCGACUUUCUCAGGAAUCAGAAGGAGACUUUUAGAUUUCGUAAUAAAAUUAAAAUUUAAAAAAAAAUAAUUAAAAUAAAAUUAAAUCGGGGGAAUUUUCCUCCCUCUUUUUACGUUUUAGAUGUAGAUUAUUUAUUCAAAUCCUUUCAUAGCAAAGGGCAAAUUAUUUAUUGUAUAUUAUUUUCAUAGAGUAAAUAAACGUCUUUAUAAAACCGACAAACUCGUGUUUGCUCCGGAAUUCGUUCCAAAACCCCGCUUUUAUUUUUCUUUUUUUGUUUUCCUCCAUAAAUCAUUCGCUUUUUUUCCUUCUUUGUAAUGAGGUUUAAUCAUCUCCUCGUGCGCCCUGAGAGGAGACAAAAGGAAUUCAGAACAACAAUUCCAGAGGCUCCGGGAAAUGUUUCCUUCGUUCGGUUCUGCUUUCAUUUUUCUCGAGUUUUUUUUUAAAAAAAUUAUAUAUUUAUUGUAUUAAAUCAAAACGGCGACUUAUUUAAAAAAAAUUAUUUAUUUCCCCCUAAUUUUUGCAUUAAAAGGAGGGAAAAAAAUUAAAAUAAACCCCCCCAGAAAAAAAGGGGAUAAAGGGAUGGAAAAGCAACACAAAGGCAGCGCGGAACCCACGCGAAUUCCCGGCCUCCCACAUCCCGCCCUUCAUCCCCAUCCUCCUCCUCCUCCUCCUCUUUUUUUUCCCUCUCGCAGCUCCCGGGGUUCGAAACGUCCCGAGAUGCGGAAAAAACGAGGAAAAAAAAUGAGGAUUUUGAGGGAAAUCUCCAAAAAAAUCCAGGCGGGGAGGGCCCGAAUAAAAAAGGAGGAGGAGGAGGAGGAGGAGGGGGAAGAGCUGGGCCUGAGAGGGCUCAAAUAAAGAAUAAAUUUCUUUAUUCCUCCUCUCUUUUCCAGCCCCACAAACCCCGAAACCCCCGGGAGCCGCCGUCUCCUGCAGGAUUUCUGCCGAUCCCUUGGGAAUUUGAACCCCAAAAUUCCUCCCGGGGGGUUCGGGGGAGGUUUCUGCUCCAGGAGGGGGCUCGGUCACCCCCAAAUCAAUCACCCCGAUCAAUCAGCGGCUGCCGGCCCCGAUCAAUCACCCCGAUCAAUCAGCGGAUUUGGGGAUUUUGGGAGGCUCUUUUCCCACGGAGCGAGCGAUCCCAAACCUCGCUCCGGGGGGGAAAAAAUCCACAAACCCAGACGAAACGUUGGAUCGGGAUUAAAUAUUCACGGCAUCGCCUCUGAAACCUCUUCCCGUGGAGAAAAGGCAGCGGUGGCGCUGCUGGAGCCGAGCUCGGAUCCGCACGGAGCCAUCGGCGCCCCCCUGCCCUCCUCGAGCCGCCCCCGAGCCGCCGCUUUUGGGGGAAAAGGGAGGAAAUUCAUUAUUUUGGAGUUUAUUUCGUCUCCCCGGCUGCUGCAGACCUUGUCUGUCAAAGCGCCAUUUGUUCCUGCUCCUCCUCCUC